rnacentral:misc_RNA from 1 species
AAAUGCGAUAAGUAAUGUGAAUUGCAGAAUUCAGUGAAUCACCGAAUCUUUGAACGCCCCUUGCGCUCCUUGGUAUUCCUUGGAGCAUGCCUGUUUGAGUAUCAUGAAAUCUUCAAAGUAAAUCUUUUGUUAACUCAAUUGGUUUCUACUUUGGUAUUGGAGGUCUUUGCAGCUUCACACCUGCUCCUCUUUGUUCAUUAGCUGGAUCUCAGUGUUAUGCUUGGUUCCACUCGGCGUGAUAAGUUAUCUAUCGCUGAGGACACUGUAAAAGGUGGCCAAGGUAAAUGCAGAUGAACCGCUUCUAAUAGUCCAUUGACUUGGACAAUACUUUUAUGAUCUGAUCUCAAAUCAGGUAGGACUACCCGCUGAACUUAAGC